UGUCUUCAGGGCGGGGUGUGAUUCCCCACUGGCGGUAUAGUCCGCGACCGGCUGCCUUUCGGCAUCCGCUGACCCGGUGCAACUCCGGGACCAACAGUUACAGUCUGGAUGGAAGAAGAUG
rnacentral:ncRNA from 1 species